ACGAACGCUGGCGGCGUGCCUAACACAUGCAAGUCGAGCGAGAAAGUUCCCUUCGGGGGGCGAGUACAGCGGCGAACGGGUGAGUAACACGUAGGUAAUCUACCUUCGAGAUCGGGAUAACCUGUCGAAAGACGGGCUAAUACCGGAUAAGACCACGAAAGCGAUGGCUUUUGCGGUAAAAGAUGGCCUCUGCUUGCAUGCUAUCACUCGGAGAUGAGCCUGCGCGCCAUUAGCUUGUUGGUGGGGUAACGGCCCACCAAGGCGGAGAUGGCUAGCUGGUCUGAGAGGAUGGCCAGCCACACUGGGACUGAGACACGGCCCAGACUCCUACGGGAGGCAGCAGUGGGGAAUAUUGCGCAAUGGGCGAAAGCCUGACGCAGCGACGCCGCGUGGGUGAUGAAGGCCUUCGGGUCGUAAAGCCCUGUCGGGAGGGAAGAAACCUCGGUGACCGAAUACGUCGCCGACCUGACGGUACCUCCUAAGGAAGCACCGGCUAACUCCGUG
rnacentral:rRNA from 1 species